rnacentral:rRNA from 1 species
GACAGAGGGUGCAAACGUUGUUCGGAAUUACUGGGCGUAAAGCGCGUGUAGGCGGCCAGGUAGGUCCGGUGUGAAAACUCGAGGCUCAACCUCGAGAGGUCAUCGGAAACCAUCUGGCUAGAGUCCGGAAGAGGAGAGUGGAAUUCCCGGUGUAGCGGUGAAAUGCGCAGAUAUCGGGAAGAACACCUAUGGCGAAGGCAGCUCUCUGGGACGGUACUGACGCUGAGACGCGAAAGCGUGGGGAGCGAACAGG